UACAGAGGGGGCCAGCGUUAUUCGGAAUUACUGGGCGUAAAGGGCGCGUAGGCGGCCCGCUAAGUCGAACGUGAAAUCCCCGGGCUCAACCCGGGAACUGCGUCCGAUACUGGCAGGCUUGAAUCCGGGAGAGGGAUGUGGAAUUCCAGGUGUAGCGGUGAAAUGCGUAGAUAUCUGGAGGAACACCGGUGGCGAAGGCGGCAUCCUGGACCGGUAUUGACGCUGAGGCGCGAAAGCCAGGGGAGCAAACGGG
rnacentral:rRNA from 1 species